GAUGAACGCUGGCGGCGUGCCUAAUACAUGCGAGUCGAGCGAACAGACGAGGAGCUUGCUCCUCUGACGUUAGCGGCGGACGGGUGAGUAACACGUGGAUAACCUACCUAUCAGACUGGGAUAACUUCGGGAAACCGGAGCUAAUACCGGAUGAUAUAUUGAACCGCAUGGUUCAAUAGUGAAAGACGGUUUUGCUGUCACUUAUAGAUGGAUCCGCGCCGCAUUAGCUAGUUGGUAAGGUAACGGCUUACCAAGGCAACGAUGCGUAGCCGACCUGAGAGGGUGAUCGGCCACACUGGAACUGAGACACGGUCCAGACUCCUACGGGAGGCAGCAGUAGGGAAUCUUCCGCAAUGGGCGAAAGCUUGACGGAGCAACGCCGCGUGAGUGAUGAAGGUCUUCGGAUCGUAAAACUCUGUUAUUAGGGAAGAACAAAUGUGUAAGUAACUAUGCACGUCUUGACGGUACCUAAUCAGAAAGCCACGGCUAACUACGUG
rnacentral:rRNA from 1 species